GCGCGGGGAGCUUGCUCCCUGGCGGCGAGUGGCGCACGGGUGAGUAAUACAUCGGAACGUGUCUUCUAGUGGGGGAUAACUGCCCGAAAGGGCAGCUAAUACCGCAUGAGACCUGAGGGUGAAAGCGGGGGAUCGCAAGCCUCGCGCUGGAAGAGCGGCCGAUGUCCGAUUAGCUAGUUGGUGAGGUAAAGGCUCACCAAGGCGACGAUCGGUAGCUGGUCUGAGAGGACGACCAGCCACACUGGGACUGAGACACGGCCCAGACUCCUACGGGAGGCAGCAGUGGGGAAUUUUGGACAAUGGGGGCAACCCUGAUCCAGCCAUGCCGCGUGCAGGAUGAAGGUCUUCGGAUUGUAAACUGCUUUUGUCAGGGACGAAAAGGGAUGCGAUAACACCGUAUUCCGCUGACGGUACCUGAAGAAUAAGCACCGGCUAACUACGUGCCAGCAGCCGCGGUAAUACGUAGGGUGCAAGCGUUAAUCGGAAUUACUGGGCGUAAAGCGUGCGCAGGCGGUUCUGUAAGAUAGAUGUGAAAUCCCCGGGCUCAACCUGGGAAUUGCAUAUAUGACUGCAGGACUUGAGUUUGUCAGAGGAGGGUGGAAUUCCACGUGUAGCAGUGAAAUGCGUAGAUAUGUGGAAGAACACCGUGGCGAAGGCAGCCCUCUGGGACAUGACUGACGCUCAUGCAC
rnacentral:rRNA from 1 species